rnacentral:rRNA from 1 species
AUGUGAAAGCCCCGUGGCUCAACCUGGGAACUGCGUUUUGAACUGGGUAACUAGAGUGUGUCAGAGGGGGGUAGAAUUCCACGUGUAGCAGUGAAAUGCGUAGAGAUGUGGAGGAAUACCGAUGGCGAAGGCAGCCCCCUGGGAUAACACUGACGUUCAUGCUCGAAAGCGUGGGUAGCAAACAGGAUUAGAUACCCUGGUAGUCCACGCCCUAAACGACGUCAAUUAGCUGUUGGGGUACAUGAUGCCUUAGUAGCGUAGCUAACGCGUGAAAUUGACCGCCUGGGGAGUACGGUCGCAAGAUUAAAACUCAAAGGAAUUGACGGGGACCCGCACAAGCGGUGGAUGAUGUGGAUUAAUUCGAUGCAACGCGAAGAACCUUACCUGGUCUUGACAUGUACGGAAUCUCUUAGAGAUAGGAGAGUGCCUUCGGGAGCCGUAACACAGGUGCUGCAUGGCUGUCGUCAGCCCGUGUCGUGAGAUGUUGGGUUAAGUCCCGCAACGAGCGCAACCCUUGCCAUUAGUUGCCAUCAUUAAGUUGGGCACUCUAAUGGGACUGCCGGUGACAAACCGGAGGAAGGUGGGGAUGACGUCAAGUCCUCAUGGCCCUUAUGACCAGGGCUUCACACGUCAUACAAUGGUCGGUACAGAGGGUAG